CAUCAGGUGGGAUUACCCGCUGAACUUAAGCAUAUCAAUAAGCGGAGGAAAAGAAACUAACAAGGAUUCCCCUAGUAACGGCGAGUGAAGAGGGAAAAGCCCAAAUUUGUAAUCUGGCUCUUUUAGAGUCCGAGUUGUAAUUUUGAGAACUGUUUUCAGUGCUGGACCAUGUUUAAGUCUGUUGAAAAACAGCAUCAUUGAGGGUGAUAAUCCCGUUCAUGAUAUGGACUACCAGUACUUUAUGAUACAGUCUCUAAGAGUCGAGUUGUUUGGGAAUGCAGCUCAAAGUGGGUGGUAAAUUCCAUCUAAGGCUAAAUAUAGGUGAGAGACCGAUAGCAAACAAGUACCGUGAGGGAAAGAUGAAAAGAACUUUGGAAAGAGAGUUAACAGUACGUGAAAUUGCUGAAAGGGAAACAAUUGAAGUUAGCCUUGUUAUUGUCAGUUCAGCUCUUUUAGAGUGUAUUCUGAUGAUUAACGACCAACAUCAGUCUUUGAGUGCUGGAUAAGGGUUUUGGAAAUGUAGCAGUCUCGGCUGUGUUAUAGUCCAUUACUUUGAUACAGUGCUUGGGAUUGAGGAUCGCAGUAAGCCAUUUUAUGGUGGACCAAAUUUUUGGUCUUCUUACUGAGGAUGUUGGUGAAA
rnacentral:rRNA from 1 species